rnacentral:rRNA from 1 species
UGUAACAAGGUAGCCGUAGGGUGUAAACGGUACCCGUGGAUUUUGAUCGGGGCUGCUCUUGUCGGCGGAGGGGUGAGUAAUGCUUAGGAAUCUGCCUAUUAGUGGGGGACAACAUUUCGAAAGGAAUGCUAAUACCGCAUACGUCCUACGGGAGAAAGCAGGGGAUCUUCGGACCUUGCGCUAAUAGAUGAGCCUAAGUCGGAUUAGCUAGUUGGUGGGGUAAAGGCCUACCAAGGCGACGAUCUGUAGCGGGUCUGAGAGGAUGAUCCGCCACACUGGGACUGAGACACGGCCCAGACUCCUACGGGAGGCAGCAGUGGGGAAUAUUGGACAAUGGGCGCAAGCCUGAUCCAGCCAUGCCGCGUGUGUGAAGAAGGCCUUAUGGUUGUAAAGCACUUUAAGCGAGGAGGAGGCUACUUUAGUUAAUACCUAGAGAUAGUGGACGUUACUCGCAGAAUAAGCACCGGCUAACUCUGUGCCAGCAGCCGCGGUAAUACAGAGGGUGCAAGCGUUAAUCGGAUUUACUGGGCGUAAAGCGCGCGUAGGCGGCUAAUUAAGUCAAAUGUGAAAUCCCCGAGCUUAACUUGGGAAUUGCAUUCGAUACUGGUUAGCUAGAGUGUGGGAGAGGAUGGUAGAAUUCCACGUGUAGCGGUGAAAUGCGUAGAGAUCUGGAGGAAUACCGAU